rnacentral:rRNA from 1 species
GAUGAACGCUGGCGGCGUGCCUAAUACAUGCAAGUCGAGCGAACAGACGAGGAGCUUGCUCCUUCGACGUUAGCGGCGGACGGGUGAGUAACACGUAGGUAACCUACCUAUAAGACUGGGAUAACUUCGGGAAACCGGAGCUAAUACCGGAUAAUAUUUCAAACCGCAUGGUUCGAUAGUGAAAGAUGGCUUUGCUAUCACUUAUAGAUGGACCUGCGCCGUAUUAGCUAGUUGGUAAGGUAACGGCUUACCAAGGCAACGAUACGUAGCCGACCUGAGAGGGUGAUCGGCCACACUGGAACUGAGACACGGUCCAGACUCCUACGGGAGGCAGCAGUAGGGAAUCUUCCGCAAUGGGCGAAAGCCUGACGGAGCAACGCCGCGUGAGUGAUGAAGGUCUUCGGAUCGUAAAACUCUGUUAUUAGGGAAGAACAAACGUGUAAGUAACUGUGCACGUCUUGACGGUACCUAAUCAGAAAGCCACGGCUAACUACGUG